rnacentral:lncRNA from 1 species
GAAAAUCAUUGAUGUCAAUUCCCUGUGGUUCGACCCUAUUGCCACUAUCUACAAGUUUAUUGUUGAUUGUUUAAUAGGUUUAUUUUUGACGGUUUCGACAACCGCCUAUCAGCAGCCGAAAGGCCUGCCUCCCAAGCCAUGUUCGGCGGCCGAAAGUCCUUCGGCUGCCGAACCUGGUUUCUGCCAAAGGGCAGAAACUUGGUUCUCUUUGCACAACAACCUCUCCUUCUCAUUCCAACAUGCAUAUAACUCAUCCGAAUCAUGCAAAUAUACAUACAUUGGCUCCUAGGGGCUUCAAACUAACUUAAACCCCAACUACAACACAC